rnacentral:rRNA from 1 species
AUUGAACGCUGGCGGCAGGCCUAACACAUGCAAGUCGAGCGAGCGGCGGACGGGUGAGUAAGGUAUGGGCAUCUGCCUGGUGGAGGGGGACAACAACUGGAAACGGUAGCUACAUACGUAUACCAUAAGCUGAAACGAUUUGGGAUUAGCUAGUGGGUAAGGUAAAGGCUUACCAAGGCGACGAUCUCUAGCUGGUCUGAGAGGAUGAUCAGCCACACUGGAACUGAGACACGGCCCAGACUCCUACGGGAGGCAGCAGUGGGGAAUAUUGGACAAUGGGCGCAAGCCUGAUGCAGCCAUGCCGCGUGUAUGAAGAAGGUCUUCGGGUUGUAAAGUACUUUCAGUCGGGAGGCGUUACCGACAGAAGAAGCACCGGCUAACUUCGUGCCAGCAGCCGCGGUAAUAC